rnacentral:rRNA from 1 species
UACGUAGGGUGCGAGCGUUAAUCGGAAUUACUGGGCGUAAAGCGGGCGCAGGCGGUGAUGUAAGACAGAUGUGAAAUCCCCGGGCUCAACCUGGGAACUGCAUUUGGGACUGCAUCGCUGGAGUGCGGCAGAGGGGGAUGGAAUUCCGCGUGUAGCAGUGAAAUGCGUAGAUAUGCGGAGGAACACCGAUGGCGAAGGCAAUCCCCUGGGCCUGCACUGACGCUCAUGCACGAAAGCGUGGGGAGCAAACAGG